rnacentral:rRNA from 1 species
ACGGAGGCAGCAGUGGGGAAUAUUGACAAUGGGCGAAGCUGAUCCAGCAUGCGCGUGUUGAGAGCUUUUGUGUAAAGCGCUUAGCGAGGAGAGCUACUGAUAUACUCUAGGAUAGUGACGUACUCGCAGAUAGCACCGGCUACUCUGUGCCAGCAGCCGCGGUAAUACAGAGGGUGCGAGCGUUAAUCGGAUUUACUGGGCGUAAAGCGUGCGUAGGCGGCUUCUUAAGUCGGAUGUGAAAUCCUGAGCUUAACUUAGGAAUUGCAUUCGAUACUGGGAAGCUAGAGUAUGGGAGAGGAUGGUAGAAUUCCAGGUGUAGCGGUGAAAUGCGUAGAGAUCUGGAGGAAUACCGAUGGCGAAGGCAGCCAUCUGGCCUAAUACUGACGCUGAGGUACGAAAGCACGGGGAGCAAACAGGAUUAGAUACCCUGGUAGUCCACGCCGUAAACGAUGUCGACUAGCCGUUGGGAUCCUUGAGAUCCUAGUGGCGCAGCUAACGCGAUAAGUCGACCGCCUGGGGAGUACGGCCGCAAGGUUAAAACUCAAAUGAAUUGACGGGGGCCCGCACAAGCGGUGGAGCAUGUGGUUUAACUCGAAGCAACGCGAAGAACCUUACCUGGCCUUGACAUGCAGAGAACUUUCCAGAGAUGGAUUGGUGCCUUCGGGAACUCUGACACAGGUGCUGCAUGGCUGUCGUCAGCUCGUGUCGUGAGAUGUUGGGUUAAGUCCCGUAACGAGCGCAACCCUUGUCCUUAGUUACCAGCACCUCGGGUGGGCACUCUAAGGAGACUGCCGGUGACAAACCGGAGGAAGGUGGGGAUGACGUCAAGUCAUCAUGGCCCUUACGGCCAGGGCUACACACGUGCUACAAUGGUCGGUACAAAGGGUUGCCAAGCCGCGAGGUGGAGCUAAUCCCAUAAAACCGAUCGUAGUCCGGAUCGCAGUCUGCAACUCGACUGCGUGAAGUCGGAAUCGCUAGUAAUCGUGAAUCAGAAUGUCACGGUGAAUACGUUCCCGGGCCUUGUACACACCGCCCGUCACACCAUGGGAGUGGGUUGCUCCAGAAGUAGCUAGUCUAACCGCAAGGAGGACGGUUACCACGGAGUGAUUCAUGACUGGGGUGAAGUCGUAACAAGGUAGCCGUAAGCUUGGAAU